AUGGACCCUGGCGGGGGCAGCCCGGGCGCCGGCAGCUCGCGCUACUUCCACCACCUGCUCCGCCCGCAGCAGCAGCAGCAGCCCUCGCCGCUCUCGCCCAACUCCCACGUCAAGAUGGAGCACUCCAAGAUGUCGUCGCCCGACAAGACCCCCGUGGGCGACGCGGACGCCGGCGGGAGCGGCGGCGGCGCUGGCGCUGACCAGCCGUCGUCGUCUGCCAUGGUCCCGGUCGACGGUAGCAGCGGAGGAGGCGGCAGCGGCGGCUCGGGCGGGCCCACCCGCCGUCCGCGCGGCCGACCCGCGGGGUCCAAGAACAAGCCCAAGCCGCCCAUCAUCGUGACGCGCGACAGCCCCAACGCGCUGCACUCGCACGUCCUCGAGGUCUCCGCGGGGGCCGAUAUCGUCGACUGCGUCUCCGAGUACGCGCGCCGCCGCGGCCGUGGCGUCUGUGUGCUGAGCGGCGGCGGCGCCGUCGUCAACGUGGCGCUCCGCCAGCCGGGUGCGUCGCCCCCGGGCAGCGUGGUGGCCACGCUCCGGGGCCGGUUCGAGAUCCUCUCGCUCACCGGCACGGUGCUGCCGCCGCCCGCGCCCCCUGGCGCCAGUGGCCUCACCGUGUUCCUCUCCGGCGGGCAGGGCCAGGUGAUCGGCGGUAGCGUGGUGGGAACUCUGGUCGCCGCGGGGCCCGUCGUCCUGAUGGCCGCGUCGUUCUCGAACGCCGUGUACGAGCGGCUCCCGCUGGAGGGGGAGGAAGAGGAGGUGGCAGCCGCCGCCGCUGGAGCGGAAGCGCAAGAUCAAGUGGCACAGUCAGGCGGGCCACCAGGGCAGCAGCCGGCGGCAUCGCAGUCCUCCGGCGUGACCGGAGGCGAUGCUGGCGGCAUGUCGCUCUACAACCUUGCCGGCGGGAAUGUGGGGAACUACCAGCUUCCCGGAGAUAACUUUGGAGCCUGGGGUGGCGGCGGUGGCGGAGUCAGGCCACCGUUCUGA
rnacentral:rRNA from 1 species